ACGCACUUUCCCCGCCCCCGUCGCCAUUUUGCGCAGAGAGCGCCGGCUCCCGUCCCGCUAUUUUCUUACAGAAUUUUCCCGCCUUGCAGCUCGCUUGCCGGGGAAUACUCACCGGAUCCCUCCCUCACAGAGGCCUCGGAGCUCGGAGCUAGCGGGGGCGGCUGCUAUCGGCUGGCGUGCCUCGGAUGGCUGCGGAUUGUGUUUGGUGACAGCUCCCGGAGACCAGAGAGGAGGAGCCGCCGCCGCUCAGUGAGAAGUUAAACUGCAGUGAGUGUGACUGGCCUGGCGCUCUGGACUGGAGACUGGACGGCCUGGCUCAGAAUGAGGCAGCAUCCCAGCAUGCACUUAAUCAAGCCACAAGCUCUACGGCCUCACAGGACAACAGCCAGAGAGUGGAGUCACCUGCAAGUAUUGCUAUGCAGCCCUGUCCUGCCCGACACCAGCUGCAGGCAUCAGACAAAAUGACGGGCAGUAACCCUGUGUCUCCUGGCUCCAGUGCAGAGCUGUCCCCCUUUGACCUCUCUGGUGAAAUGGGGGACACAGCUUGUGGCUCCCCCACUUAUGAUGGGAUGGAUGGUUCCCAACAGGAUAACAGUGGGGGGCAAAAAUGGGACAGUCAACCAGAGAUUGCUGAACAAGCCAAACAUGAAGCAGAAAUUGAGAACCGAAUUGCCGAGCUGCGCAAGGAGGGGUUUUGGACUCCACGUCGUCUUUCCAAGGUUCCUGAGCCAACCCGUCCCAAAGUGCAGUGGGAUUACCUGUGCGAAGAGAUGCAGUGGCUUUCUGCAGACUUUGCACAAGAACGCCGCUGGAAAAGGGGGGUUGCUAGAAAGCUGGUACGGAUGGUUGUUCGUCACCACGAGGAGCUGAAGCAGAAAGAGGAAAGGGCACGCCGGGAAGAGCAGGCCAAGCUUAGGCGUAUUGCCACCACCAUUGCAAAGGAGGUGCGCCAGUUCUGGAGUAACGUCGAAAAGGUUGUUCAGUUUAAGCAACAGUCUCGGCUAGAGGAGAAGCGGAAAAAGGCCCUUGACCUGCAACUGGAUUUCAUUGUGGGUCAGACGGAAAAAUAUUCAGACCUCCUCAGCCAGAGUUUAAAUGAGACGUUGCUCCCUGUCAGCAAGUCGAGCUCCUCCUGCAUUGGAUCUUCCCAGGGAGGUUCUUUAAGGACCAGUCCCACUCCAUCUGUCUACCAAAAUUAUGAUGGGGAUUUCUUGCCUCAUGAUGAGGAAGAUGAUGAAGAGACCAUAGAAAUAGAGGAGCGUCAGGAUGGGAAUGAUGCUGAGAGCCAGAGGCUGGAGAUAGAGCUUUUGAAAAAGGAGAGUGAACUUCCUUUGGAGGAAUUGCUCCAGAGUUUAGGGCCCAAUUUUCUCCAAGAUGUGGAUCCAGAUCAGGACGUACAGGAUUCCCCUCAGUCGCCCAAAGUCUUUGAGGAGGAAGAUGACGAGUUCACUGCUAACGAGGAAGAAGGUGAAGAUGAGGAGGAGACAAUUGAAGCAGAAGAAGCGCUAGAGGGCCAGCAGGAUCAUGCAGAGGAACUGUCUGAGCUUGCCAAAGAAGGAGAGAUGUCUUUAGAGGAACUCCUGCAAAAGUACUCAGGGGUACAGACCAAUGAGGAGAAUGUUGAUCCAAGUGAAGAAAGCCAGCUAUCUGACCAAUCAUCUGACUCUUCUCAAUGUGAGAAUUCUGACUCUGAUUCCGAAGGGGUUGAAUUUCUUGUGAAGCCAGAGGACAGCUCCAAUACAGAUUCAUUGCUUCAGGAGAUACCUGAACCUAAAAAAGAAAUAACUGAUAUUGCAGCAACAGCUGAGUCUUUUCAACCCAAAGGGUAUACACUUGCAACUACUCAGGUGAAGACACCAGUUCCCUUCCUCCUUCGAGGAGAGCUAAGGGAGUACCAGCACAUUGGGCUCGAGUGGCUAGUUACCAUGUAUGAAAAAAAACUAAAUGGAAUCCUGGCAGAUGAAAUGGGUCUCGGAAAAACCAUUCAGACAAUAUCCUUGCUGGCUCACCUAGCAUGUGAUAAAGGUAACUGGGGACCUCAUCUGAUCAUUGUGCCAACAAGUGUUAUCCUUAACUGGGAAAUGGAAUUCAAACGGUGGUGUCCCAGCUUUAAGAUUCUCACCUAUUAUGGGUCCCAAAAAGAACGCAAGCUUAAGAGACAGGGCUGGACAAAAUUCAACGCUUUCCACGUGUGCAUCACAUCUUAUCAGUUGGUGCUACAAGAUCACCAGGCCUUCCGCAGAAAAAACUGGAUAUACCUCAUCCUGGAUGAGGCUCAGAACAUCAAGAAUUUCAAGUCGCAGCGUUGGCAGAGCCUGCUGAAUUUUAACAGUCAGAGGCGACUGCUGCUCACUGGGACUCCACUGCAGAAUUCUCUCAUGGAGCUUUGGUCACUCAUGCACUUCCUGAUGCCUCACGUCUUCCAGUCUCACCGUGAGUUUAAGGAAUGGUUCUCAAACCCCUUGACUGGCAUGAUUGAGGGCAGCCAGGAGUACAAUGAGGGCCUGGUGCGCAGGCUGCACAAGGUAUUGCGCCCAUUCCUAUUGCGUAGGAUUAAACUUGAUGUGGAGAAACAGAUGCCUAAAAAGUACGAGCAUGUCAUCUACUGUCGUUUAUCCAAGCGCCAACGGUUUCUGUACGAUGAUUUCAUGUCACAAGCAGCGACAAAGGAAACACUGGCUAGUGGGCAUUUCAUGAGUGUGAUCAACAUCCUAAUGCAACUGCGCAAAGUAUGCAACCAUCCCAACUUGUUUGAUCCACGCCCAAUCCACUCUCCUUUUAUUACAAGCACCAUUUGCUACAUUGUACCUUCCCUGGUUCUGCAAGCUCUGCAUCGUCACCCGCUCCAGCACGUGGACAUGUCCAUGUUCGACCUGAUUAACAUGGAAGGACGGGUCUGCCGAUAUGGGAGUGAAGUCGCUCUGCCACAGUAUAAACCCCCUCGUGCUCUAAUCCAAGAGAUUGCAGAUUCUCCUGAACCCCCUCCACGACUCCGCCCUCUUCGUAUGAAGGUUAACAGGAUGGUUCAGCCUGUUCCUAAAACGGACCCAAGGAGCGUCGUCAUUGUGAAUAGUUCUCGGCAAAUGCAGAAACCUUUGGAUCUGCCCCCCUGUACUGCUAACCCUCCUUUGCCUUCUGCUCCGCACACAACACCUGCUCCCAGCUCCUCGUCUUCAUCAACAGGAGCUGUAGAACCGUCUAUGCCAGCACCACCGGCUCAGGCAACCCCUCCAUUGGUUCAGGUACCUGCAGGGCCAGUGCCUGCCAUUGCUCCUGGUACAAUAAGGCCACCGUCUGUUCAGAGUUCCCCGUCUGGAAUUGGUGCCCAACAAAGGUUAAUCCUAACGCCCGACAUGCAGGCCAGGCUACCUUCAGGGGAAGUUAUUAGCCUGUCUCAGCUCGCGUCAGUGAGUUCACGUCCCCUGCAAGCUCCGGCGGUCACUAAACCUGUAACUCUGCAGCUGCAAGGUGCCAAGCUCACCUUGAGUGGUGCCCAAGUUCGACAGUUGGGUAUGGGUCAGCCCCGCCCACUGCAAGGAAAUGUCCUUCAUUUGGUGUCUUCUGGUGGGCAGCACCACUUGCUAAGCCAGCCCGCCCAGCUUGCUCUCAUCCAGGCUUUGGCGCAGCAAACCGCAGCCCCUGCUCCCUCUGCUUCUCCACAGUUUGUGCAGGGAGCAGGUACCGCUCAGCUUGGGGUUCAGACGGUCUCCCUGCAAUCUCUUCCUCAUUCUCUAAUCACAGGUGCCAACCUUCCUGUACCCCCUCCGCCUGGCACUCCCUCUGGGCAGGGUGUAGUAAAAAUUGUGGUUAGGCAAGCGACCCGCGAUGUUUCUGCAACUGCACCUCGUCUGGCCCAACCUGGGCGCUUGCCACAAACCCCGUCUCACCCUUUCCUGAGGGUUUUACCUGGGGCAGUCCCCGAGCCUGCGGGUGCAAGAGUAGGUUCUGGGGAGAAAGCAGCGUCUGUGGUUGCAUCUUCUCCUCUCACACUCGCCACCAGCCCCCUGCUGAUGGUCUCCAGUCCUGCAGUGGCUUCAAGACUUCAAUCCCCAGUUCCAACCCCUCUGCCACCUAUCCAUAACCAUUCAAUGCCCCCCAAUGCAGAGAGUUCUGUCACCCCUGUUGCUCCCCAAGGUGUGCCGGGCGUGGCCCUUCGCCUACUGGCCACAGGGACCUCUGCUGCACUUCAGCUUACAAACCAUCGCUCUUCCCCACCAAGACACACGCAGAGCCCUGCGUUACCAAACUGUCCUCUACAAAACACUCUCCUCCCACCCAGUUCCCCUUGUCAAGCAGUAAUGCCAGAUUCUAACCUGUGUCCGGUCUUACAGAAAAUUCCAAACGCUGAUACAAACUCUGCCUUGGGAAUAGUCUCUAAUGAUGUUCAGGCUGCACAAUCUGUUGCUAAUGGAAAUGUGAUUGGCUCCAGCACAGUGGUCCUUCCCCAAAGUCCUGUAGCGAGAGAACCUUUGGAUUCUGCUGCUUCCCAGACACCACCUCCCUUACUGCCUACUCUCUGCAUGCCUGGCACAAGCUCGGAUCCUGGGUUCUGUGUCAGCCCACUGCUUAACAACAUGGCUCAUAACCCUCCUUCCCCACCUGUACUGUCCAAUCUCAAUCAUAAUAUUAAUACUCCUAAAUUGGUACCUCCGACAUACAACUUCAGCUUGGUUCCUGCACUUCUUACCAAUUCUGUCUCCUCCACUGCUUCCAACUUUAACCCUGUGCCUGCACGUUUCAUAAGUAGCCCAGUCUCUCUCCUGGCAUUGUCCCCACUGACCUCUGCAAAUAGCAGUGCAACGCCUAUCCUGUACCCUCAUCCCACUGCUAGUCCUGCACCCUCUUCGUUUGUCCCGCAGGUACCAGCCAAUCCAUCUCCAGUUUCAGCUUCAAACACUCUUCCUGCUCCCUCCAUAUCUACUAAUACUACUUUGUCUUUGUCCUCUCAUACCGCUAAUGCUACUGCUCAGUUGCCCAUGCUAAAUGCAUCUGUAUCCAUCCCCAUAUCAACAUUAUCCUCUAGUGUCCCUGUGCCUCUUUCUCCAUUGGUGGCUUCUGCCUCUGGCAAUCUUUCCUUGAUUGCUGCAACUUCUGUUCCUUCUCCUUUGUUUUCUCUUUCUUCCUCUGCUCCCUUGUCAUUGCCCCUAGCUUUUGCAAAUGCCCCCUUGCCUUCACUUGAGGCAUCUACUCAACUGCCUGCUCUGGCUGCUGCUGCUCAUUCCCAGGCUCCCUUGGCUGCCCCAGCUGCUGCUCCUACCCAGGCUCCUUUGGUUGCCCCUGUUGUUGCAGCUCAGGCUCCCUUGGCUGCCGCUCGUUGCCAGGCUCCCUUGGCUGCCACUCGUUGCCAGGCUGCCGCUCCCACCCAGGCUCCUUUGGCCACCCUGGCAGCUGCUCCCACCCAGGCUCCUUUGGCCACCCUGGCAGCCGCUCCUACCCAGGCUCCCUUGGCCCCCCUGGCAGCCGCUCCUACCCAGGCUCCCUUUGCCAUCCCGGCUGCCACUCCUACCAAGGCUCCGUUGGCAGCUGCUCCUACCCAGGCUCCCUUGGCCUCCCUAACUGCCGCUCCUACCCAGGCUCCCUUGGCCGCUCCAGCUGCCACUCCUACCCAGGCUCCCUUGGCUGCCACUCCUACCCCGGCUCCCUUGGCUGCCGCUCCUACCCAGGCUCCCUUGUCCACCCUGGCUGACGCUCCUACCCAGGCUCCCUUUACCGCCCCGGCUGCCACUCCUACCCUGGCUGCCGCUCCUACCCAGGCUCCCUUGGCCUCCCCAACUGCCGCUCCUACCCAGGCUCUCUUGGCCGCUCCAGCUGCCACUCCUACCUUGGCUGCCGCUCCUACCCAGGCUCCCUUGGCCGCCCUGCCUGCCGCUUCUACCCAGGCUCCCUUGGCCGCCCUGGCUGCCGCUCCUACCAAGGCUCCCUUGCCCGCCCCGGCUGCCGCUCCUACCAAGGCUCCCUUGCCCGCCCCGGCUGCCGCUCCUACCCAGGCUCCUUUGCCUGCCCCGGCUGCCCCUCCUACCCAGGCUCCUUUGCCUGCCCCGGCUGCCGCUCCUACGCAGGCUGCAUUGCCCGCCCCGGCUGCAGCUCCUACGCAGGCUGCAUUGCCCGCCCCGGCUGCAGCUCCUACCCAGGCUGCAUUGCCUGCCCCGGCUGCAGCUCCUACCCAGGCUGCAUUGCCCGCCCCGGCUGCAGCUCCUACCCAGGCUGCAUUGCCCGCCCCGGCUGCAGCUCCUACCCAGGCUGCAUUGCCCGCCCCGGCUGCAGCUCCUACCCAGGCUGCAUUGCCCGCCCCGGCUGCAGCUCCUACCCAGGCUGCAUUGCCCGCCCCGGCUGCAGCUCCUACCCAGGCUCCCUUGUUUGCCCCGGCUGCAGCUUCUACCCAGGCUCCCUUGUCUGCCCCGGCUGCAGCUCCUACCCAGGCUCCCUUGUCUGCCCCGGCUGCAGCUCCUACCCAGGCUCCCUUGUCUGCCCCGGCUGCAGCUCCUACCCAGGCUCCCUUGUCUGCCCCGGCUGCAGCUCCUACCCAGGCUCCCUUGUCUGCCCCGGCUGCAGCUCCUACCCAGGCUCCCUUGUCUGCCCCGGCUGCAGCUCCUACCCAGGCUCCCUUGUCUGCCCCGGCUGCAGCUCCUACCCAGGCUCCCUUGUCUGCCCCGGCUGCAGCUCCUACCCAGGCUCCCUUGUCUGCCCCGGCUGCUGCUCCUACCCAGGCUCCCUUGUCUGCCCCGGCUGCUGCUCCUACCCAGGCUCCCUUGUUCGCCCCGGCUGCCGCUUCUACCCAGGCUCUCCCAGUUGGUGCUGCCAAGGCCCUAUUGGCCCCUCCAGCUGUUUCCCAGACCCCUGUGCCUUUGGCUGCUCCAGCUCCUUCCCAGACCCCUCUGGCUGCCCUGACCCAGGCUUCCUUCACUCCUGCCCAAGCGUCCACAGCCCAGUCACCAGGUCUUUUAGCUAACCUGGUUCCAGAGCAGAUCUCUCUGGCUGUUAUGUCCCAGGUCCCAGUUUCUUUGGCCGCCCCUGCCCCUGGCCAGGCUUCUGUUACUUUAGCUCCUUUGGGAUCUGCCCAGGAUCCAGUUGCCGCCCAAGCCCAGGUUCCCAUUUCAUUAGCCGCUCCUGCUAAGGUUACUGUUGCUUCUCCAGCCCAGGUUGCAGUUCCACUUGCUGCUCCAGCUGCUGCCCAAGUCUCUUUGGCUGCACCAGCAGUUCUGCCUAACUCGGUCCAGGUCUCUGUUCCUCUGACCUCCCCUUCCCUGCCCCCCAGUCUUUUACCACUUUGUCCUUCACCAUCAUAUUCCUCUGGGCAAGUAAUGAAAACAUCUGCAUCUCUACCAUUGCUCACAACUGCAUCUGCUCCUGUGUCUCCAUUGGUAGCCUCAGCUUCCCUUUCAGUGGCAGCCUCUGCAUACCUUCCCACAGCCUCCGUAAGUUCCCCUGUCCCCUCAUUUGCAGCCUCUGUUCCUGCACUGGGAGCUUGUGCCCAGUUACCCUUGCCAUUAUCCUCUGCUCCUGCCCACAUGCCUUUGCUAGCUGCCUCGGCACCGACCCCUAUUCCAGCACUAGCCUCACGGGUCUCUGCGCCACUGCCCCCUUUGGCUGCUUAUGCCAGUGUUCCUCUGCCCACCUUGGCAGCCAGUGUAUCUGCUCCUCCUGCAUCUCUCUUGCCAUCCUUCCAGGCACCCCUGCCUUGUUCAUCCUCCGCUAUACCCACCACGCAGUCUCUUUCUGCCCCUACUGCAUACGUGCCCUCUAACUGUGUUUCUGCCUCUUCAGCUGCCUUCACUGCUAUCACCACUGCAUCUUUGUCUUUAGGCACCUCUGCUACAUCUUCUACCUCUUUGCCAGUUGUUACUUCCUGCGUUUCAGCUCCAGUGUCAUCACUAGUUUCCCCCCUUUCUGCUCCUUUAAGUCUAAGUGGUCCUUCACCUGUAACUGUCCCAGAGCCUCCUUUAUCCCUGUCAAUUGACGGCCCAUCAUCGGUGAGCGUGACUCUCAGCACUACUUCCGAUUCUGAUUUAAUGCUAGAUGGAGAUGCCCCCCGUCCAACAAAUCCCCCUCUGCUGUCCACCCCAAGACUACGCCGGCAGCUGCCUCCACUACCACGGUCACCUUUCUAUCUGGAGCCCCUGGAAAAUCGCCGUCGCAAACACAAAAUGGAAAGACUGGAUAGACUCUUCUGUCUGAAUGAAAGGCGCAGUAUGCUAACUCCCAUUUACGGCACCGAAGUCCUUCACUUCUGCACCCUACGCAAUACUGACUGCCACUUGGGCUUCCCUAACAACUCCCUCGGUCCCCACAACCUGCACAAUUACUGGCUACAAGCAGAUGCCUUGAGCAAGUGCAUUCUCACCCCAGAGCAGCGCCUCGGCCAACUUGACCCCGUCAUAGAAAGGUUUAUUGUCGCUAUGCCUCCCGUGGAGGCCCCACAGAUCACCCUGCACACUUCCCACCCACCACCAUCCAUGCUGCUUCAGGAGUCCAUUUUCAGGGAGUCAAUGCGUAGAGAAUUAACGCCUCAUUCCCGCUGUUUACACCGCAUUGUGUCCAACAUGAGGACCCAGUUCCCAGAUUUACGGCUCAUUCAGUAUGACUGUGGCAAGCUCCAAACACUCGAUCGUUUGCUGCGCCAGUUAAAGACCGGGGGACACCGGGUCCUUUUAUUUACACAGAUGACCCGAAUGUUGGAUGUUUUAGAGCAGUUUCUUAAUUACCACGGGCACAUUUACCUGCGACUCGACGGGUCAACGCGCGUUGAGCAAAGACAGGUUUUGAUGGAGCGUUUUAAUAUGGAUCGUCGGAUCUUCUGUUUCAUCCUGUCAACUCGCAGUGGGGGCGUUGGGAUCAAUCUGACAGGUGCUGAUACAGUCAUCUUCUAUGACAGCGACUGGAAUCCCACUAUGGAUGCCCAGGCCCAGGAUCGCUGUCACCGAAUCGGGCAGACCCGUGAUGUGCACAUAUACAGAUUGGUCAGCGAGCGCACUGUGGAGGAGAACAUCUUGAAGAAAGCUCAGCAGAAGCGCAUGUUGGGGGAUAUGGCUAUCGAGGGAGGAAAUUUCACUACAGCCUACUUCAAACAGCAAACAAUCCGAGAGCUGUUUGAUAUGGAAGAGGCCACACGGAAGGAGGCGGAGGCAGGCUCUGCAUCUCCUGAGCGCACAGCGGAUGAUGGGAGCACAACACAAAAUGCAAACAUUCUGGAACAGGCCCUCUGUAGAGCGGAGGAUGAGGAGGACACCUUAGCCGCCUCGCUGGUUCGUGCUGAGCAGGUUGCCGAUCUUGCAGAGUUUAAUGAGAAUGCUCCUUUGGAACCAGAGGAGGAAGAACAGAGUCGGGCCGAGCAAGAAAUAAACGCCUUGGUUGAGCAGCUGACUCCAAUUGAACGCUAUGCCAUGUAUUUUCUGGAAGCUUCGCUGGAAGACAUAAGUCGGGAGGAGCUGAAACAAGCUGAGGAGCAAGUAGAAGCUGCGCGGAAAGACCUUUUCCUGGCCAAAGAAGACAUUGGCCCUUGCCCGGACGACUCAUGGGAGGAAGAGGGUAGAAAGAUGCGCAAGGUCCGGGCCCCACCUUCCAGCAGACCACCAGGGGAAAGAGUAGGGGUCCGUAUGAGCGAGCGGUUGCGCGGAGCCAGAACGGCAGAUGGGGCAGACAUCACAGACAGCCCAGCCUUGCCCGAAACUUCAUCUCCUGACCAAGAAACCUUGGAAGACAGUGCACCAAUAAUCUCCCAGACAGAGACUGCAGUCCCAGACUUGAAUGAUUCUCCAAAUAAGCAGGAGGCCACCACCGCCAGCAGUCCAUCCCAGCAGCCAUGUCCUGUAUCCCCAUUACCGCCCACCGCUUCUCCCCCACCAGAGGCCUCUCCGCAGUUGUCAUGUUCUGUGAAGGAAGAGCAUACAGAACAGCCUGCCGAAUCGGACAGUGAAAGACAACUUGUGCCAAAACCUGACACCAUCAUGCACAGCACUCCCAGUGGUGCCAACCAGGAUAGGGAAAGCAGCACUCCCCGCACACCGCGCAGGAAAGUCACUGCCGACUGUGAAAUUCUUAUGGCUGCAGCGGGGGACACCUCCCCGACUGAAAAGGUCCUGAGGCGGCUACCUGGCCGUCUGGUCACCGUAGUGCAGGAGCGGCCGCCUGUUGCACGCCGCCAGAAUCGCCCAAAAGGUGACAAAGGUCCCCUGAGCCCUGGUGAUCCUCAAAAUAGCCCCCCUCCUUCUCUACAGUCAGAUGAUACAUCUGAGGCCGGCAGUCCCCCGCCAAAGAGAAAAAGGGGAAGACCACCAAAGCCAAAAAUAGAAUCGUCUCCAGCUCAGGCAGUGGCUACAGGAAGUUCCCUGUCGGAAGUGGCUUCUGAUUUGGAUGUUUCGCUGUUGGAAAAACAUGGCGACACAGGCCUUUCACCCCUGGGACCUAGUUCUGAACUGGCGCCAUCCACUAAGGCGGCCGUCGUAGCUGGCAGCCCCGUGCCGUGCACAAAAUUGAACUCUGAAAUUGAAAGUGCUCCCUCUGUUGAAAAGAGGAAAAGGGGACGGCCACCCAAAAAGAGAGAAGUGCUACCAACUUCUCCAGUUGCCUCUUUAUCUUCUGCCGAGCCCACACCGGAGCUGCUGUCUCCCACUGGCAGCGCAGGGGCAAGUCCCACCGCUGUUUCUCUCCAGUCCGACAGUAAGGACACGAGCGGAACGAAAUCCAACGUGCUCGAACCCACUCCUCAUCCCGUCAUUCCCAUGGCUUCUCCCAACAUUCCACAGGCGGGUGGGUGUGUUGAGGGGACGAGCAGCAGCGGUGGCGAUGGACCUUUAACCCCUCCCAAGCGGAAACGUGGCCGCCCCCCUAAGUCCCAGAGUACUCCAAAAGUGGUACAGAGUCCAAACUUGCACAAUGAUAAAAGGGACGGCUCUCCUGACAGAUACGCCAGCCCCCACCACACAAAGCUGCCUGUGGGGAGGAAGAAGAAACAAGCCUCGCCUUCGGCCAAGAAGGACGAGGAGCACACAGCUUCUGCCUAUACAGAUAACUCCUCAGACGAUGAGGGGGAAACUGUACGGACUCCUCUCACCCGCAGCGCCCAGACACGUUUGCAGUCCCCCCACGUAACCACUCCAAACCCAAAUUCUGCUGGGAAAUCCCUCAGAGGACGUUCACCCUGCUCUCCCCACCUCCAAGAUAGACCUGGCAAAAGGCGGAAAGCUCCCAAUAUAAACUCACCUAGUCCCCCUUCCUCGUCCCCCCAUGGCAGUUCUAGUGACAGACAGUCUGGCAGCGGCAGAAAGCGUCGCUGCCCACCUGCGGAACAACGCAUUUUGCGCAGCUCAAUCACAGCCCCUCCUGCCAGUAACACUCGCUCCUCCCGCCCCCCUCCCUCACUCCCCAACUCUCCCAGCAGCCACAGAGGCAGAAAAGCUAAGACGUGAGCGUUUCUCCCAGAACAUUUGGCUGUGUUUUACCCCAGGUGGGGAGCCUCCCCUUGCAAAGACUUGGAGGGUCAGGCGAGAGACUUCUAUCUGCCCGAGAGCACUAAAAAAAACAAAAAAAAAAACCUAAUGACUGCCCCAAAUGUGCUGCAACACAGAGUGACUGCCCGGAGAGUGUGCUCGGCACAGCUACCGCCCCAUUACUGAGACAUAACCGAAAUCUAUGCAAAGAGGCUCGAGAGGCCAAGAAGAGAAGCUGGAGUCAGAUUUGUUAUUAAGCGGUUUCACACGUUGAGUUAUCAGGGGGAGUUGCUGGGAUUCUGGGGGUGCUGAGCCCUGUAAGUAUUAGACAGACAGACAGCCCCACGUUUCUGGAGCUUUGUCUGUCUCAGGGCUCUAGGUCCUGGGCCUGUGGGCCCCCGGGGAAUGGAUGUUUGGGCAUGUUUCUACACAAGUCCCUGUACUUUAAUGAAAAUAAAGUGUUGAGUAAAAUGUG